rnacentral:lncRNA from 1 species
UAUAAUGACUCAGUUGUUCAUACUGAUGAGGAACACAUAGCUGAAGCUAUCUGUGCUGCAACUGAUGUGAUAGCUGGUACGUUCUGAAUCUCUCCCUCCCCUUACUGUCAAAAUAUGUUUGGUUUAAAACUUGCAAGACUCUAAAAAUGCAACCUUAUCUGAUGCAUGCCACAUCUAAAACGAGCUAGCUACUGCCUACUGGUAAUCUGGUAUAGAAGUCCCUGAAAAUACUACAUAUGCAUUUACAGUUUAGAACUAAUGCUAGAGGUGUUUAUAGGAUUCUGAAAAUUUGAAAAAUACACCUUUAUUUAACAUAUGCAGUAUCAAAAUUGGCUAGCUACUUGUAUUAACGUCGCUGAAUCUACAUGUGGGUUUAUAAUGUGCUAUAGGUGUUAGUAGGUGUCUAGAGAUAAUAGCGAUACCUUUAUCUAGUACAUACACAAUCAAACGAGCUAGCUACUGAUACAGAAGUCCCUAAAAUAACAUGUGCAUAGAUAACUGAAUAAUAGUGCUAGAUGUCUGAAUAGGAUUCUGUAACACCGAGUGGGUCUUAAGUGAUCUGAUUAUUUUUCGUUAUGUUGUUACACUAGUUUUGCUAUUUGGUGGAACUUCAGACAGAGUGUUAUAGUGUUCAGACUAACCUAUGGAAGUCUUGAUUUUGAUAAGUACUUGUGAAUACUUAUGUUGCAGGAUCUGGUAAAGGUGUUUCAGACACUCCCUUGACGCUCCAUGUGAAGAAGGCUGGUGUUCCGGAUAUUACAAUGGUUGAUCUCCCUGGGAUAACU